rnacentral:rRNA from 1 species
UACGUAGGGUGCAAGCGUUGUCCGGAAUUAUUGGGCGUAAAGAGCUCGUAGGCGGUUUGUCGCGUCUGCUGUGAAAACUCGGGGCUUAACUCCGGGCCUGCAGUGGGUACGGGCAGACUAGAGUGCGGUAGGGGAGACUGGAAUCCCUGGUGUAGCGGUGAAAUGCGCAGAUAUCAGGAGGAACACCGGUGGCGAAGGCGGGUCUCUGGGCCGAUACUGACGCUGAGGAGCGAAAGCGUGGGGAGCGAACAGG